CGAUUGAACGCUGGCGGCAUGCUUUACACAUGCAAGUCGAACGGUAACGAGGGAGCUUGCUCCGCUGACGAGUGGCGAACGGGUGAGUAAUGCAUCGGAACCGUACCCAGUCGUGGGGGAUAACGUAGCGAAAGUUACGCUAAUACCGCAUACGUCCUGAGGGAGAAAGCGGGGGACCGUAAGGCCUCGCGCGAUUGGAGCGGCCGAUGUCGGAUUAGCUAGUUGGUAGGGUAAAGGCCUACCAAGGCGACGAUCCGUAGCGGGUCUGAGAGGAUGAUCCGCCACACUGGGACUGAGACACGGCCCAGACUCCUACGGGAGGCAGCAGUGGGGAAUUUUGGACAAUGGGCGAAAGCCUGAUCCAGCCAUGCCGCGUGAGUGAAGAAGGCCUUCGGGUUGUAAAGCUCUUUCAGCCGGAAAGAAAUCGCGCAGGAUAAUACUCUGCGUGGAUGACGGUACCGGAAGAAGAAGCACCGGCUAACUACGUG
rnacentral:rRNA from 1 species